CAAAAAAAAACCUUUUAGAAUUUCUCUAGUAGGUUUCUUCUUAAGAAGAAGCCCAU
ensembl:snRNA U7 U7 small nuclear RNA